AUUGAACGCUGGCGGCAUGCCUUACACAUGCAAGUCGAACGGCAGCGCGUUGGAGGUAACUCUGAUGGCGGCGAGUGGCGGACGGGUGAGUAAUACAUCGGAACGUGCCCAGUUGAGGGGGAUAACCUAGCGAAAGUUAGGCUAAUACCGCAUAAGCUUGGAGAAGGAAAGCAGGGGAUCUUCGGACCUUGCGCUACUGGAGCGGCCGAUGACCGAUUAGCUAGUUGGUGGGGUAAAGGCCUACCAAGGCGACGAUCGGUAGCUGGUCUGAGAGGAUGAUCAGCCACACUGGGAAUGAGAGACGGCCCAGACUCCUACGGGAGGCAGCAGUGGGGAAUUUUGGACAAUGGGCGAAAGCCUGAUCCAGCAAUGUCGCGUGGGUGAAGAAGGCCUUCGGGUUGUAAAGCCCUUUUAGCGGGGAAGAAAAGGCGGCGGCUAAUAUCCGCGCGCUGAUGACGGUACCCGCAGAAGAAGCACCGGCAAACUACGUGCCAGCAGCCGCGGUAACACGUAGGGUGCGAGCGUUAAUCGGAAUUACUGGGCGUAAAGGGUGCGCAGGCGGAUAGAUAAGUCAGAUGUGAAAGCCCUGGGCUUAACCUAGGAACUGCAUUUGAAACUAUUUAUCUAGAGUACGGCAGAGGGAGGUGGAAUUCCAUGUGUAGCAGUGAAAUGCGUAGAGAUGUGGAGGAACACCGAUGGCGAAGGCAGCCUCCUGGGCUAGUACUGACGCUCAUGCACGAAAGCGUGGGUAGCAAACAGG
rnacentral:rRNA from 1 species